UCAGGAAACUUGAGUUACCUUAAAGUGAGAGUUGUCCUUGGGUUGCUGGAGUUGCUUUCCUGGAUGGAAAGGGCAAGGCGCUUGCUAUUUAAGAUGAUAAACCAUCUGUAUGUGGCCACAGGACCGUCUGUUAAAGGACAUUAUUUAACUUCUGCAUUGUAGAUCUUGUUGCAUGGACAGCUUAAAAUUUUGAGACAGAUGCAAUGAAGGGAUGCAUAUGAUGGCUUUGGCAAUCCAACGGCUGGUGAUUUUGGCUUAAAGCUCUAGAUGGAUGAUUGCGUUAUCAAUCUGUUCUCUCAAUUCAAACAUGGGGUCAAUCCCAU